GAUGAACGCUGGCGGAGGGAGGAAUACAUGCAAGUCGAACGGAAAGGCCAAAGAUUGCUUGGGUACUCGAGUGGCGAACGGGUGAGUAAAACGUGGGUGAUAUGCCCUGAAAUUCGGGAUAAGCCUGGGAAAAUGGGUCUAAUACAGGAUAGGAUAACUUCGUAGUUGUUGUGGUGGAAAGGAUUUUCGGUGUGGGAUGAGUUAGCGGCCUAUCAGCUUGUUGAUGGGGUAAUGGCCUACUAAGGCGUCGACGGGUAGCCGGCCUGAGAGAGAGUACGGCCACAUUGGUACGGAGAUACGGACCAGGCUCCUACGGGAGACAGCAGUGGGGAAGAUUGCACAAUGUGCGGAAACCUGAUGCAGCGACGCCACGUUAAAGAUGACUGCCUUCGGGUUAUAAUCUGCGUUCGUCAAAGACGAAUUUAUGACGGUAUUUAGAGAAGAAGCACCGGCUAACUACGUG
rnacentral:rRNA from 1 species